rnacentral:tRNA from 1 species
GGGAAUGUGGCUUAGUGGUAGAGUGCUUGCCUUGCAUGCAUGAAGCCCUGGAUUCAUUCCUC